rnacentral:rRNA from 1 species
AACGAACGCUGGCGGCAGGCCUAACACAUGCAAGUCGAGCGCAGUCCUUCGGGACCGAGCGGCGGACGGGUUAGUAACGCGUGGGAAUGUACCCUUCUCUAAGGAAUAGCCUCGGGAAACUGAGAGUAAUACCUUAUACGCCCUUCGGGGGAAAGAUUUAUCGGAGAAGGAUCAGCCCGCGUUAGAUUAGAUAGUUGGUGGGGUAACGGCCUACCAAGUCUACGAUCUAUAGCUGGUUUUAGAGGAUGAUCAGCAACACUGGGACUGAGACACGGCCCAG